rnacentral:lncRNA from 1 species
UCCUUUUUGCCCCCCUCUGAUCUAGAUGCACAUAGUGAUGUUGCAGCUCGUUAUUCCUUUGGCCUAGAUGAACAUAUACAUAAGUUGCGAUUAGAAUCGUGAAACAACCCCCUUUAUGUAAAACAAGGGCAAAGUUGGGGACGUGAUCUAUAUCAUCUUGUUAGGGUCAUAGAAAAUUAGAAACAAUCCCUAGAUGCAGAUAGGAAUACAGUGGUGCCCAACCUAGAUGCACAUAACUCACACUAAGAUUCAUUCAAAUUUGAGUGUCUUAUUUACAGGUGAGACUGACUAUUGAAUGUUACUCCCUGAAUUACCUUUCAAACUUUAGGCGCUGUGGAACUUUGAUCAAUGAAUGCAAAUAUGCCUUUUUUCAUUACACUCGCUUUAAAUACAGGACUAACUUCAUAUCAUUUUGUUCUUGCAGUAUUCAAGACGAGUACAAACCAAAGUGUGAUCCAAACUUAUAACGAAACUACCUACAAAAACUGUAGUAUCGACUACUCAGAAGACGAUGACACCUUCUCAUUUACAAGUGGCAACAGCGAGUUCAACCAAUCACUCACCAUAGCUAUCCCAUUAACCAUUAACGGUACAAACUAUUACUUCUCUGAUUCAGAUGAUGGUGUACAAUGCCAACAAGGCAUGGCGUUCGAGAUUGAUGUAAAAUAUGGCAGCGGACUUCCACCAAGCCUCAACCAGCCUCCGCCACCGGCCUAUGUGGAGCCAUCACCACCGUUGCCAGACGUGACCACUCCACCGCCCAGUACCGGUUUCAGGACUAACCUGCCUUGGUUGGUUAGUGUUAUUACAUUAUGUGGAAUGGUAGUGUUAUAGAAUGAGUAUUAGAACCAAAGUGUAUUGUACACUAGAAGACAUCAUUUGGAAAAGUAAUUAUGCGAGUAGUAAGGGUCGUUUUGGGGAUUUAGAUACAAAAAUUAGUUGUCAAGCAUGUGUCGGCAGAAGGGAGUGUGGGACUUAGCUGUACUGUUUGGCUUUAGAUUAUACUACUGCUGCUACUUUUCUUGAAUUAAAUUGUUGCAUUAAUUACACAUCCGUCUAAACUUCUAAACCUAUU